UACGAAGGGGGCUAGCGUUGCUCGGAAUCACUGGGCGUAAAGCGCACGUAGGCGGCUUUCUAAGUCAGGGGUGAAAUCCUGGAGCUCAACUCCAGAACUGCCUUUGAUACUGGAGAGCUUGAGUCCGGGAGAGGUGAGUGGAACUCCGAGUGUAGAGGUGAAAUUCGUAGAUAUUCGGAAGAAACACCAGUGGCGAAGGCGGCUCACUGGCCCGGUACUGACGCUGAUGUGCGAAAGCGUGGGGAGCAAACAGG
rnacentral:rRNA from 1 species